rnacentral:rRNA from 1 species
UACGAAGGGUGCAAGCGUUACUCGGAAUUACUGGGCGUAAAGCGUGCGUAGGUGGUUUUUUAAGUCCGUUGUGAAAGCCCUGGGCUCAACCUGGGAAUGGCAGUGGAUACUGGAAAGCUAGAGUGCGGUAGAGGGUAGUGGAAUUCCCGGUGUAGCAGUGAAAUGCGUAGAUAUCGGAAGGAACACCAGUGGCGAAAGCGGCUUCCUGGUCCAGCACCGACGUUCAGGCACGAAAGCGUGGGGAGCAAACAGG